CCUGAGUGCUGAGCGCGAACCCGAGGAGAUGAACCCUUUAACUAAGGUGAAGCUGAUCAACGAGCUGAAUGAACGAGAGGUCCAGCUUGGGGUGGCCGAUAAGGUGUCCUGGCACUCCGAGUACAAGGACAGCGCCUGGAUCUUCCUGGGAGGGCUUCCUUAUGAACUGACUGAAGGGGACAUCAUCUGUGUGUUCUCACAGUAAGUGUCCUUUCAUUUCCUGCCUCCUGAGUCGACAGAGUACUUUGUUUCUGUAAUACAUUUUGUGGCAUCACAAAAACCACUUAUUUUCACUCUAGGCUGAAUGGCAUCCCUGCAUGGGGAGGGCUGGAGCUUCUGUUCUAGAUCAGUCCCAGGACAUGGUUCUAGAAUGUUCUGUGGGAGAUCCAAGAGGUUUGUUAAUUUGGGAGGGCAUCUUGGGGAUCCUAGUCUAUUUCUGUUGUUUUUCACUGAGGCUUGUUCAGCCUGGGCCUAGACUGGAACAGACUGGACUCCUUGGGCUCUUGCAAACUAGGGGUAACCCAUGGUCACAGGGCCCUUCUGGCCCUUACCUGUGUGGCGUCAUACGAUUGGGGCAAAGCACAGAGGAAAUUGGGGUAAAAAACAGAAGGUCGUAGUUUGCUUUCUUUGUUUCUCGAUGAGUGUAAGGUUAGUGAGCAAAGGCAAUCUCUGCCUGGAGGCUGAGAAUCACAGCCCGAAGGGAACAAGAAUGAAUAGGAGACCUGUAUAUUCUUCAUUCUGCUGAGGUGUUAGCAGCAGCAUUUCAUGGGAGAGGGUGUUGGCAGCUCAUACUGGUAG
rnacentral:lncRNA from 1 species